rnacentral:lncRNA from 1 species
AGUUCUCCUUCCAAACAAAAAAGCUCCAUAGUAGAGCCUAAAGGCAUCUUAGCAAAGGAGAAGAGAAUGGACACUUUACCUCACAGCCCUUGAUUUUGGCAGCCCACCAAUGAAGAUUGGGUCCUUAUCAGAACGAUUCAAGUCUGAGGCAACCCCAGGAGCUUCUCCUUGCUUGGUUUCUUUGUAAUUAAGGUUAUAUGCAUCCAUGACUGCCAGCAUUCCUGCCAAGAAAAGAGUAAAGGUCUAGAGAAGGAUACUCAUCAUUCUUCCAUUUUGGCAAUCUUGUUCCUAAUCAAGGAAAAUGUAUUCCUUGAGUCAAAUGCAUAUGGACAAUCUUCUUAUUUUUAGAAGCAAGAGGUCCUGAACCUAGAUCAACAGUCAGUCUCACUUUGCCAUCAACAAGCUCAAGGGACAAGAAAUCUCUCUGGAAGGAAAAAAAAAAAAAA